UGCUAAAACUCGAGAGAAUCCGCACAAGUUAGAGAGCAGGGAAAGAGAGGGGAAUCCGGUGAGCUUGUGCCCCUGGAGGGGUCAGCCUGAAGCAGCAGAAAGGAUAGUGAGCGAGACCUCAAGAUCAGGUAAACGUCAUUCCUCGUUUUCUUCCAAAGCAGCUGCCACCGCCGGCUGAAUGAAAGACAUUUUUCUCCACCGGUAUCGGAAAAGGCGACUGUGGAGAAGCGGCGAGGGGAGGCAAGUGGAGGGUCACCGAAUCCUGCUAACGAGACCACGGAACAAAGGCAGCCUUGCUGAGAAGUGGAGGAAGCCGAUGAGCGCGCUCCUUACGGGCUGUCAUCCGCUUCUAGAGGGAAGAGCCGGUUCCCGAAGAGAUCUAGCGAGGCUCUCUUGAUUCCCGUUCCGUUUCGACUCUUGUGACACGCAAUGGCUCUCUCCCGGGAAGGGAGCUGGGCUCUGGGAGAACUUGUCCGCUGAGAAAGCAGGGAGCCCCCCCCCCCCCACUCUGGGUACUGUUCUCUCUCUAAGAUGACUUGCCCCGUUGCCCUGUCAGCUUGCUUGGACCGGGAGUUUGGGAGGAAAUAGGUCCCUUUGUUCCCAGGAGGCAGGUGACAGCUUCUGCAAAAGCGGGGGUGAUCCUCUUGAAUUUUAGUGUGCUGUUCAUGCUUGAGAAAUGUUUUUUUCCUACGUGUGGGCGAUUUUCCUGAAGGGAGUGGGUGUGUGGCUCCGUCUUUAAUUUGAGAGGAAGAAACUCUUUCCGCCUUGGACUCCUGCGAAGGCGGCUGGUUUCCUGAGUCGGGUGCCCACCAGCCUGUUUGGCAGGGCUUUUCUCCUGCCAUGGCCUUCACGUUUGCUGCCUUCUGCUAUAUGCUGUCCCUGGUGCUGUGCGCUGCCCUCAUCUUCUUCGCCAUAUGGCAUGAUCAGAGCCAAGGCACUUAGAAUGGAGCAACUCCCAAAUACAACCUCCUACAGUGUAUGGAUCAUUGCAUUUGAUGAAUUAAAGACAGACUUCAAGAGCCCCAUAGAUCAAUGUAACCCAGCACAUGCGAGAGAACGAUUAAGAAAUAUUGAACGGAU